GACGAGCUCUCCAAACGUUAUUCGGUAUUACUGGGCUUAAAGAGUUCGUAGGCGGCUCUGUAGGUGAGAUGUGAAAGCCCUCGGCUUAACCGAGGAACUGCGUUUCAAACCACAGGGCUUGAGGGAGAUAGGGGUAAGCGGAACAGAUGGUGGAGCGGUGAAAUGCAUUGAUAUCAUCUGGAACACCGGUGGCGAAGGCGGCUUACUGGGUCUUUUCUGACGCUGAGGAACGAAAGCUAGGGUAGCGAACGGG
rnacentral:rRNA from 2 species